AGCGAACGCUGGCGGCAGGCCUAACACAUGCAAGUCGAGCGCCGUAGCAAUACGGAGCGGCAGACGGGAGAGUAACACGUGGGAACGUACCCUUUGGUUCGGAACAACCCAGGGAAACUUGGGCUAAUACCGAAUAAGCCCUCACGGGGAAAGAUUUAUCGCCGAAGGAUCGGCCCGCGUCUGAUUAGCUAGUUGGUGAGGUAAUGGCCCACCAAGGCGACGAUCAGUAGCUGGUCUGAGAGGAUGAUCAGCCUCACUGGGACUGAGACACGGCCCAGACUCCUACGGGAGGCAGCAGUGGGGAAUAUUGGACAAUGGGCGCAAGCCUGAUCCAGCCAUGCCGCGUGGGUGAUGAAGGCCCUAGGGUUGUAAAGCCCUUUCGGCGGGGAAGAUAAUGACGGUACCCGCAGAAGAAGCCCCGGCUAACUUCGUGCCAGCAGCCGCCGUAA
rnacentral:rRNA from 1 species